AUGCCCCAGAAGCAGAUCCCGACUCCGCGGCCCGACGGCCCUCCAAACGCGUCCGCCUCACCGCCGCCCGCUGCCAGGCCGUCGGUGACGUGCUACGCCUGCGCCGCCGCGCCGCCCCGUGACGUCAUGGCGCCCGCGCCGCUGCCGUCACCGGGGUCGCAUAGGUCUUUUCCUAGUAACCUGGGCGAUAGCUGUGAAUGUUCACAAGGAUCGUCUUCAGUCAUGGCCUUGGGUUUAAGGUGCUUCCGCUUGGUCCACCCUGUCUUUUGUAACUCCCUUGCAGCCUGGACCAGACCUGUUUCAGAAGGGACACUGAAGACAGCGAGUGGAAGACAAAAUGACUGUGGGCAAUCCAUGGCCCCCCCGGCUGUACCAAUCCGUCAUUUUGCUACCAAGAAAGCCAAAGCCAAAGGGAAAGGACAGUUCCAAACCAGAGUGAAUCUUAAUGCUGCCUUGGUUGAGGAUAUAAUCAGCUUGGAAGAGGUGGAUGAAGAAAUGAAGUCCGUGAUGGAAGCACUCAAAGACAAUUUCAAUAAGACUGUCAAUAUAAGGACCUCACCAGGAUCCCUUGAUCAUAUCACUGUGGUAACUGCUGAUGGGAAGCUUGCUUUAAACCAGAUUGGCCAGAUCUCCAUGAAGUCUCCACAACUGAUUUUGGUGAAUAUGGCCAGCUUCCCAGAGUGUACAGCUGCAGCUAUCAAGGCUAUAAGAGAAAGUGGAAUGAAUCUGAACCCAGAAGUGGAAGGGACGCUAAUUCGGGUACCCAUUCCCAAAGUAACCAGGGAGCACAGGGAAAUGCUGGUGAAACUGGCCAAGCAGAGCACCAACAAGGCCAAGGAUUCCUUGCGGAAGGUUCGUACCAAUGCAAUGAAUAAGCUGAAGAAAUCCAAGGACAAGGUCUCAGAGGACACCAUUAGGCUCAUAGAGAAACAGAAAGAGAUCACAAGUAGAUGGAGAGGCAGGCAGAGAGAGAGAAAGAGAGAGGGAAGCAGGCUCCCCGCUGAGCAGAGAGCCCGAUGCGGGACUUGAUCCCAGGACCCUGAGAUCAUGACCUGAGCCGAAGGCAGCAGCUUAACCCACUGAGCCACCCAGGCGCCCUGGAAUUGAUUUUUUAAAGAUCAGCCAAAUGGCCGAUGACACCGUUGCAGAGCUGGACCGGCAUCUGGCAGUGAAGACCAAAGAACUCCUUGGAUGAGAGACCCCCCGGGGCAGCAGUACUCUGGAGCCCAGUUCCUGGUGGAUCCCAUGGGGGACAGAUUGGCCCCUUUCUUCUCUGUCCACACGGAAGGCUGUCAUCAUGCCGUUAUCAGUUGUUGUGAGGCUCAGCCUUCUAGUGCGACAUGCUAGACACUCUCGGGCACUCUCUUCCUCCUGUUCCCUGCCCACCCCAUUCUGCUCGGGCCCUCUGCCUUGGGAGGCCCUCAGAGAGUACCAGCUGUGACGGGUGGCCUCUACUUAGGGCAUUUGCCCUGAUGGUGACAUUGCCAAGCGACUAGGACUAUCAGUGGGCUCACCACUGUCUGUUUCUCAUCUCGGGAGCCUCCUUUUCAGUUAGUUGGGCCCCAUCCCCGGCUUUGAACUCUGGGCUGACGUGGGCCUUUGCCUGUGACUGUAUCCCUUUGCUAGAGGCCUGUUUUUACCAAAAAAUAAAAUCAAAAUCAAUUGGAAAGAAUAA